rnacentral:rRNA from 1 species
UACGUAGGGCGCAAGCGUUGUCCGGAAUUAUUGGGCGUAAAGAGCGUGUAGGCGGCCUGAAAGGUCAGCUGUGAAAACUCGAGGCUCAACCUCGAGACGUCGGUUGAAACCAUCUGGCUAGAGUCCGGAAGAGGAGAGUGGAAUUCCCGGUGUAGCGGUGAAAUGCGCAGAUAUCGGGAAGAACACCCGUGGCGAAAGCGGCUCACUGGACCACAACUGACGCUGAGGCGCGAAAGCUAGGGGAGCAAACAGGG